ensembl:lncRNA
GUAAUAUUUUGAAGGAGACAAACACAGAUGCAGCAGACACAAUGUGCUCUGUCGACGACCCUAAAUACUGCUCUUCCUAAGGCAGGGAAUGAAAGGCCACUAAUCUACCGAGCCUCUCAGCCACUGGGCUCUUAACCUGGAAAUGGACAGAUGAAAGAGGAGGAGAGGCCUCUGAGAAGAGAGGAGGCCUGCCACCUAGCAAUGUGACAUUUACUGGAACAGUAGAAAUGGCAGCCAGUUGCCUGAUUCCUCCACGUCUGCCUGGCAGAGAUGGACCUCUCCAGACUGGCAGCCACAAAGACUUCACCCUGGUUGCCCUGCCAAGAGCCCGGCCACCUCCUACAGCCUCCACUCACACUGCUUCACUUAAAAGAUUCACAACAGGCAGGGGUAUUUUCAAUACUCAGCUGCAUUUCUCUCUCUUUGUGCAUGUAUGUGUAUAUGUAUGUGAGAUCGAUGCAGUCAACUAGAAAGGCCUAUGCAAGGUCAAAACUCUGCAGGCUGACUCUCGCCACCAAUCUUUCCAGAGAACCCAGAAAGUUUCACUCUCAAAGCUCAGAAUAAAUAUUUGUUGACAGUGUGCCAUGCGACUCCCUGUGCCCUGGACACGAUGGAUCUAAAAUAAGGCUCUGCUAAGGGUCUUUCCAAGGUUCUACACAGAAAAACAAAACUGAAAUUUCUCUUGGAAAGCACACUUAAAUGAGUCAGAG